CAUUUCAGGAAGUGAUUAUCCAACGUCUAAUUUAUUCUUGAAGGACGUGUGUGUAGUGAAAUGUAUGUUAGAUAGUAAAAGUGAAUCUAAAGAUGAUUUUAUUAGGGUAAUGGUUAGGAGAAUGAAAGAAAAGUUUGAUAAAUAUUGGGGGGAAUGUAAUGUGUUGACGUUUGUGGCUGCUGUAUUGGAUCCUCGGUUGAAAAUGAGGGUUAUUCAGUGGGCAUUCCCUAAGAUGUAUUCUGAGACAAAAGCAUGGGCAAAUAUGAUGACGGUCCGGGAUGUAUUGUAUGAGUUAUAUGGGGAGUAUAUUCAAGCUAAUCAAGGUGUGACUAUCGCCCAUGCUUCUACAUCACAAGGGGAUGUACAUGGAGCCAUUGGUGAGGGACCCGAGGCCUGGGAUGAUUUUAGCAGUUUUUAGGACGUGAUUGAAACUGUUGAGCCUAGUAUGUCUGAGUUGGACUGUUAUUUGGGAGAGGGAUGCCAUAAGUGUGUGGGAGAUCAUGACUCAUUCGAUGCCUUACAGUGGUGGAAGGCAAAUUCAACCAAGUAUCCUAUAUUGUCUACGAUGGCUCGUGAGAUACUAGCCAUUCUGAUCACUACGGUUGCUUCAAAGUCUGCAUUCAGUGCUGGGAGUAGGGUUAUUGAUAGCUACCGAGCUUCUUUGUCACCAACUACGGUGGAGAUGUUGUUAUGUGGAUCUGACUGGUGUCGCACUUUGAAUGGAGUGAAGAAAGGGUGUAAAAAAGAGGAGGAUCACUUGGAGAUUCAACUUCUUGUUCUGUUAGGUGAUGGGAGUCAGCAGAUUGGUUGAUUCACCCGUGAGUUAUUGCCUGUGGCAGUAGGAUUCUACAGGAGGAGUGGGGCUACAAUGGACAUACAACCAAUUAUCUUUUGCUGUUAUAUAUAUUUUUUGAUGGAUG